GUGUGUAGGAAAUAGAAGGUCAUUGUUUCAGGUGUGUAGGAAAUAGAAGGUCAUUGUUUCAGGUGUGUAGGAAAUAGAAGGUCAUUGUUUCAGGUGUGUAGGAAAUAGAAGGUCAUUGUUUCAGGUGUGUAGGAAAUAGAAGGUCAUUGUUUCAGGUGUGUAGGAAAUAGAAGGUCAUUGUUUCAGGUGUGUAGGAAAUAGGACAUUUUUUCAGGUGUGUAGGAAAUAGGACAUUUUUUCAGGUGUGUAAGAAAUAGAAGGACAUUUUUUCAGGUGUGUAGGAAAUAGAAGGUCAUUGUUUCAGGUGUGUAGGAAAUAGAAGGUCAUUGUUUCAGGUGUGUAGGAAAUAGGAC